rnacentral:lncRNA from 1 species
CUUUUUUUUUUUUUUUUUUUUUUUGUUAUUGCUUAGGAGUAAGUUUGAGAAGCUGAUGGCCAGACUUUUAUUAAGCCCAUCCAGGUCCAUAUGAUAUCUUCUUGAAUCACCUUUAAGAAAAUAUAUGUAGUCUGACAAAUUGUUGCUAUUACUAUUUGAGGAGAGGAAAGCUGUCUUUUCAGUAAGCUACUUGCCAGAAGUAAACCUAGUGGCAGCGGAAAACUCAAUUGGCUUUGCAGUCAAAUAGACCUGGAUUUUAAUUCCAGACCUAUGGUUGCUGGAAGUGUGGCCUUGGGAAACACUUAACCUCUUUGAGACUCAGUUUCUUAUCAAUUUUGGACAUGAAGAGAAAUGGCCCUGAGAACAUGGCUUGGGGCUGCCAUGAUAAAAUACCACAGACAGUAUGGCUUAAGCAGAAAAUUAUUUUCUUACAGUUCUGGAUGUUUAAAAUCCAAGGUCAGGGUUUUGGCAGAGUUGGUUUCUUCUGAGGACUCUCUUCUCGGCUUGCAGAUGGAUGCCUUCACUCCACAUCCUCACGUGGCCUAUUCUAUGUAUACAAGCCCGUCUGCUGUUUCUUCCUCUUCUAAAGGCACUAAACAUUGGAUUGGGACUCCAUCCCAGAAUAUCAUUUCACCUUUAAAAGCUUGUCUCCAGAUGAAGUCACAUUGGGGCUAGGGUUCCCCAACAUAGGAUUUUGGAGAGACGCAUUUUAAUCUAUAACAGUGGGAAAGUUGGAGAACACAUUUGUCAUAUGAAGAAACUGAGUUCACCUUUUCCCCCCACUCAAGUUUUAGACUUGAAAAAAAGAGGCCUUUUGUUACAAUCUUAGAACAAAGCUGUAAUAAAUAAAGCUGGUUAUUUUAUAGGUGCACUGGUCCUUAGUGUGUGUGUGUCCAAACCAUUGUAAGUGAUUUGGGUUUCUUUGAGUUGAAUUGGAGUGUAUGGAUCACCUAUAUAAGAGAGUAUUUCUUAAUUGGACACCAGUAUGGUCCAAGAGCAUCUCCUUAAUAUCAUCUGGGUUAGAUUUAGACAUCUUCUUCCCAGAACAAUAGGGCCCUUGAUACCCCUUUGCAAACUUUGAAGAAACUAUCUCCACUCUCUGAGACCAUGUUAGAUGAAGUCUGGGGCCCUUAAACUGAUGGUGAUACUAUCAAAACCCCUAUAUCAGAAGUGAGGAUAUAUAUAUAUUUCUUUUUGACAGGUCCAAAGCAUGCUUUAACCUGGGCUUGGUUUCAGAGUCUCUUCCCAUCUUGCAUCUCCUCCCCUUUCCUUUUGUCUUUUCACAGCUCUCUAUGUGAAAACUUCUUCCAACUUCCUGCUUAGACACUCUGGAAACCAUGUGCUCUUAAUGGCAGAAUUUCCCAUAUUCCCAUUUCUUUUAACAGAAAUGUGUGUAUACUUAUAUCUCCAUGCUUGAAUCUAGGCAUUCCUUUGAGUACAACAUUUACCCUGAACCCCCUUACCUAGAAGUCCAUGAACCAUGGAUGGGCAGAGGAUGGAUGAUUUUCUGGUCAGCCUGUUGUCUUCAUCUUCCACUUUGAGGGCUUCUUUUGAGGUUCUUGAUAACUAACAGUAUUAUUUUCUACCCACCUUAUCAAUGACAUCCAUGGAUCUCCUGAUGACUUUCCCCUAGUUUGGAAGACUUUGGAUUCAAACUCACACUUCUCCUCUCUAUUGCAUUGAGGGUACAGUCCGUACAAUACACUAGUUUACAAGACCUUGAUUUCUUCAAUCCUAUUGUCUUCACUUACGCUUCUAUUCAACAGCAACCCAUUCCCAGGCCCCUCACUCACAAAUAUUAAUCUCUAAUAUUUCCCUGUUUGACCACAAUCUCCUUUAAUCUCUUUUGCAUUCUCACUUUCAUUAUCUCUCAUACUUAAUUUUUUAAAAAUUGAAAUAUAGUUGAUUUACAAUAUUCUAUUUCCAGGUGUAUAGCACAGUGAUUCAGUAUUUUUGUAGAGUAUGCAAUCUAGAUUAUUACAAAAUAAUGGAUAUAAUUUCAUGUGCUGUACAAUAUGUCCUUGUUGCUUACUUAUUUUAUGAACAGUGGUUUGCAUAUCCUUAUCUUGCCACUCCCCCUUCCCUUUCCCCAUUGGUAACCAGUAGUUUGUUUUCUCUAUCUGUGUAUCUGUUCUUUUCUCUGCGUAUAUUUGUGCUUUUUAAAAAAUUCCAUGUACAAGUGAUAUUACUCGGUAUUUAUUUUUGUCUUAUUUCAAUAAGCAUGGUAUUCUCUAGGUUCACCCACAUUGUUGCAAAUGGCAGAAUUUUGUUUAUGGCUAAUAUUCCUGUGUAUAUGCAUACACAUACACACACACAUAUAUAUACACAUGUAUGCACAUACACGCAUAUACACCGUAUCUUUAUCUGUUUGUCUGUUGAUGGACAAUUGAGUUGCCUCCAUAUCAUGGCUAUUGUAAGUAGUGCUUUUAUGAACUUUGGGGUGCAUGUAUCCUUUUGAAUUAGUGUAAUCAUUUUAUGCAGAUACAUACCAAGGAGUGGAAUUGUUGGAUCAAGUGGUUGUUCUGUUUUUAGGUUUUUAAGAAAACUCUAUACUGGUUUCCAUAGAGGCUGCACCAAUUUGUGUUCCCACCAAAUGUAUACUAGAAUUCUCUUCUUUCCACAUCCUCACCAACAUUUUCUAUAUGUAGACUUUUUGAUAUCACCUAACACCUAUUGGAAUGUCUACUUCUUUGUAGUUUUCUUUUGCAUUUCUCUAAUAAUUAGUGGUUCAGCAUCUUUUCAUAUGCCUGUUAGCCAUUUUAUGUCUUCUUUGGAAAAAUGUCUAUUCAGAUAUUCUGCCCAUUCUUUGAUUGGGUUGUUUGGGUUGUUUUGAUGUCGAGUUAUAUGAGCUAUUGAUAUAUUUUGGAUAUUAACCCCUUGUCAGUCAUUAGCAUUUAAAAAUAUUAUCUCCUAUUCUGGGGGUUGUCUUUUUGUUUUGUCAAUCAGUGGUUUCCUUUACUGCACAAAAACUUUUAAGUUUAAUUAGGUCCAAUUUGUUUAUUUUUGCUUUUAUUUCUUUUGCCCUAGGAGGCAAAUCCAUAAACAUAUUGCUACAAUUUAUGUCAAAGUAUGUUCUGCCUAUGUUCCCUUCUGGUAGUUUUGUUUUGGGUUUUGCAUUAGGUAUUUAAUCUGCUUUGAAUUUAUUUUUGUUUAUGGUGCAAGGAAGUGUUCCAACUUCAUUGUUUUACAUGUAGCUGUCCAGUUUCCUAGUACCAUUUAUUGAACAGACUGACUUGUCUGCAUUGUAUAGUCUUGGCUCCUUUAUCAUAGAUUAAUUUCCCAUAGGGGUGCAGGUUUACUUCUGGGCUUUCUAUUCUAUUACAUUGAUCUGUUUGUUUUUGUGCCAGUCUCAUGCUGUUUUGAUGACUGUAGCUUUGUAGGAUAGCCUUAAGUCUGGAGGGUGGUACCUUUAGCUUUAUUUUCCCCCUCAAGAUUGCUUUGGUAAUUUAGCGUCUAUUGUGACUCCCUAUGAAUUUUAGGAUUAUUUGUUCUAGUUCUGUGAAAAAUGCCAUGGGGGUUUGAUAGAGAUUGCAUAAAUCUGUAGAUUGCUUUGGGUAUUCUCAGUAAACCUAAGUCUAGGAUGAGACAAAUUCACGGAAUUCUACCAAACAUAAAAAGGAGUGCUAAUACCUGUCCUUCUCAAGCUAUUCCAAAAAAUUAAAGACGAUGGACCACUCCCAAAUUCAUUCUAUGAAGGCACCAUUACUGCGAUACUAAUACCAGAAAAAGACACUAUGAAAAAAGAAAAUUACAGGCCAACGUCUUUGACUAUAGAUGCAGAAAUUCUCAGCAUAUUAGCAACUGAAUCCUACAGUAUAUUGAAAGGAUUUAUUCCAGGGACAUAAGGAUGGUUCAAAAGAAAUCCUAUUUCAAAUCACAUCAAAAAUAAUAAAAUACAUAGGAACAGACUUAACCAAGGAGGUGAAAUACAUGUAGCCUGAAACUGUAAAACACAGAUGAGGAAUCUGAAGAUGGUACAAAGAAAUAGAAAGAUAUCCUGUGCUCUUGGAUUGGAAGAUUGAAUAUUGUUCAUAUGGUCAUUAUCUCUCAUAUUUGAUCUCAUAGGAAAUUAAAGUCCAUGUAUAUCAGUUACUUCCUGACAUGUUUAGUUCCCCUUUUCAGCUCAGCCUCUUUGAAUAUCUCAACUAUGCUUCCUCUGGUAGUGUGAGUACCCUUACACUGUCUAUUGCAUCCAUCUAUAAAAACUUAUUCCUUUAGGAAUGCUGCAUUUCACUACAAAAUACAUUAUAUAACUUUAUCCUCACAACUUGUGCAAGAGAGACAAGGCAGGAGUUAUUUUUCUUGCUCUUCAGUUUAGAAAGCAGAACACAAGCAAGAUUAGGUGACUCAUCUAAGAAUAUGCUCGUAGUAUAUAAAAGAAUAUAGAGAACAGAAAUCUCAGGAUCCUGACUCAUUUUUUUCCCCUCUGGACUAGUGGUUUUAAAGCUGUGAUUUUUUUUUUCAGAUUUUUAUUUUUGUCCACAAAUUGAUGUCUUGACGUAAAAAAUAGAUAAAAAUAGAGAUACUUUUAUUGAAAAUUGACUCUGGAGGAUACAGAGUCCCUAUCUAUUCAGCUGCCUCUUUGCUACUCAAGUUUGUUAUGCCCUAAGAAUUUUAUGGAAGGAACACAUUUUGGGUUUAGGAAUAGGUUGUUUUAUGGUGCUCUGCUUUAUUGUUCCUCCCAGUUAAGAGGUUUUGUUUUGUUACAAAUGAAGGCUUUUGGCAACUAUGUAUCCUAUGAGUUUACCAGCUCUAUUUUUUUUUUAACAGAAUUUGCUCACUUCAUGUCUCUGCCACAUUUUUGUAAUUAGCAUAAUAUUUCAAAAUUUUUCCAUUAUUAUUAUAUAAUGGUGAUCUGUAAUCAGUGAUCUUUGUUACUUUUUUUGGGUUCCAUGAAUUGCACCCCUAAAGAUGACAAACUGAAUUGAUAAAUGUUUUAAGUGUACUGACUGCUUCACUGACCAGCCAUUCCUCCAUUUCUUUUCCUUUCUUCAGGCCUCCCUAUUCUCUAGACACAAGAAUGUUGAAUUAUGCCCAUUAAUAACCCUACAAUUACUUUGUGUUAAAUGAAGAGUCACACAUCUCUUACUUUAAAACAAAAGGUAGAAAUGAUUAAGUUUAGUGAGAAAGGCAUGUCAAAAACUAUGAUACGUCAAAUGCAGCACCUCUUGCAUCAAACAAUUGGCCAAGUUUUGAGUGCAAAGGAAAAGUUCUUAAAGAACAGUAAAAGUGCUAUUACAGUGAACAUACAAAUGGCAAGAAAGCAAAAUAGCUUUAUUGCUGAUGUGGAGAAAAUUUCAGUGGUCUGGAUAGAAGCUCAAACCAUCCACGACAUUCCUUUCAGGAAAAACCUUAUCCAGAGAAAGGUCCUAACUCUUCAGUUUUAUGAAGCCUGAUAUCAUUGAGGAAACUGCAAAAGAAAAGCUUGAAUCUACCAGAGCUUGGUUUGUGAGGUUAAAGGAUAGAUGCUAUCUCCAUGUCAUAAAAUUGCAAGACGAAGCAGCAAGUACUGAUGCAGAAAUUACUCUGAGAAGAUCUAGCUAAGAUAAUUAUUAAAUACUAAACAGAUUUUCAAUGUAGAUAAAACAGCUUUAUAUUGGAAGAAAAUGCCAUCUAAGAUUUUCAUAGCUAAAGAGGAUAAGUCAAUGCCUGGCUUCUGUGUAUAGGCUAACUCUCUUGAUAGGGACUAACACAGCUAAUGGCUUGAAGUUGAAGCUGGUACAUAUUUAACUAUUCCAAAAAUCCCAGGUCUUAAGAGUUAUGGGAAUUCUACUCUGCCUAUGCUUUGGAAAAACAAAGCCUCAAUGAAGCACAUGGGUGUGCAACUUGUUGUGCUGGAUAUUUUCAGCCCACUAUCGAGACCGACUGCUC